rnacentral:pre_miRNA from 1 species
ACAUGUGUGGAUGGUGUUCAGCACCAAGGACAGGUAUGGUUCUCUGUGCACCAAUGGGGUUCAGCACCAAUGACAGCUGUGUUCACAU